AAUGAACGUUGGCGGCGUGGAUUAGGCAUGCAAGUCGAGCGCGAAACGUAGCAAUACGUGGAAAGCGGCGAAAGGGAGAGUAAUACAUAGGUACGUACCCUUGGACCUGGGAUAGCGGCGGGAAACUGCCGGUAAUACCAGAUAAUGUCUCCGGACCAAAGGUGUGAUUCCGUCUGAGGAGCGGCCUAUGUCCUAUUAGCUAGUUGGUAAGGUAACGGCUUACCAAGGCAAAGAUGGGUAUGGGGUGUGAGAGCAUGCCCCCACUCACUGGGACUGAGACACUGCCCAGACACCUACGGGUGGCUGCAGUCGAGAAUCUUCGGCAAUGGACGCAAGUCUGACCGAGCGACGCCGCGUGCGGGAUGAAGGCCUUCGGGUUGUAAACCGCUGUCGUAGGGGAGGAAAUGCAGGUGGGUACUCCCAUCUGCUUGACUGAUCCUAGGAGGAAGGACCGGCUAAUCUCGUGCCAGCCGCCGCGGUAACAC
rnacentral:rRNA from 1 species